AUGCCUAUUUAUUCCCUUUCAUUGAUUUGAACCAGUCCCAACGUACCUGCCCUUGCGCUCUCUCUCUCUUUGCUAUCUCCCUCUUCCUCUCCUACUGUUCCUCUCUCACACAUACACGCACACACGCACACACGCACACACACACACACGCACACAAACACACACACGCACACACGCACACACGCACACACGCACAAAAACACACACACACACACACACACACACACACACACACACACACACACACACACACACACACACACACACACACACACACACACACACACACACACAGUACAGUUUGACCUUCAUGGAGUUUCCCAGGUGUUAAUAUCUCGCUCUGAAUCUCCUUUCUCCUCGCUCUCUCUCUUCCUCUCUUUCCCUUUCUCUCUUCUCUCCCUCUUUCUAUCUCUUCAACUCUGUCCAUCCCUCCCUCUCCCUCUAGCGCUCUCUCUCGCCCGCUCUCUCCUGCUCUCACCCCCUCUCCCCUCUCUCUCCCCCUCUCUCCCCCCUCUCUCUCCUCUUCUCUCCCCCCCCUCCUUACCCCUCUCUCUCCCCCCCCCCUCUCUCCCCCUCUCUCUCCCCCUCUCCCACCUCUCUCCCUCUCUCUCUCUCCCUCUCCCCCCUCUCUCUCCCCCACUCUCCCUCUCUCUCUCCCCCACUCUCUCCACCUCUCUCUCCCCCUCUCCCACCUCUCUCCCUCUCUCUCUCCCCCUCUCCCCCCUCGCUCCCCCACUCUCCCCCUCUCUCUCCCCUACUCUCCCUCUCUCUCUCUCUCUCCCCCUCUCUCUCCCCCGCUCUCUCCCCCUCUCUCUCCCCCUCUCCCCCUCUCUCUCUCCCCACUUCUCUCCCCUUCCCUCUCCCCCUCUCUCCCCCUCUCCCCCCUCUCUCCCCCUCUCUCUCCCUCUCUCCCCCCUCGCUCCCCCUUUCUCUCCCCCACUCUCUCUCCCCUUCUCUCCCCCUCUCUCUCCCCCUCACUCCCCCUCUCUCUCCCCCACUCUCCCCCUCUCCUUCCCUCUCUCUCUCCCCCACUCUCUCCCCCACUCUCCCCCUCUCUCUCCCCCUCUCUCUUCCUGUCUCUGUUCUGAAUUGGGGCCGAGGGAGCCGAG
rnacentral:lncRNA from 1 species